rnacentral:rRNA from 1 species
UGAGGAAUAUUGGACAAUGGAUGGAAAUCUGAUCCAGCCAUGCCGCGUGAAGGAAGAAGGUCCUAUGGAUUGUAAACUUCUUUUGUAUGGGAGCAAUAAGGCCUACGUGUAGGUUGAUGAGAGUACCAUACGAAUAAGCACCGGCUAACUCCGUGCCAGCAGCCGCGGUAAUACGGAGGGUGCAAGCGUUAUCCGGAUUUAUUGGGUUUGAAGGGUGCGUAGGCGGUUAUUUAAGUCAGUGGUGAAAGUUUUCGGCUCAACCGGAAAAUUGCCAUUGAUACUGGGUAGCUAGAAUAUGGUUGCUGUGAGUAGAAUGUGUGGUGUAGCGGUGAAAUGCAUAGAUAUCACACAGAAUACCGAUUGCGAAGGCAUCUCACAAAGCCAUCAUUGACGCUGAGGCAC